rfam:Drosophila virilis strain TSC#15010-1051.87 Ctg01_14395, whole genome shotgun sequence.
CAAUCGGCUCUUUUCAGAGCCACCAAAGCAAACGCCAAAGAGUCU